rnacentral:rRNA from 1 species
GAUGAACGCUGGCGGCAUGCCUAACACAUGCAAGUCGAUCGGUAAGGCUCUUCGGAGUACACGAGAGGCGGACGGCUGAGUAACGCGUAGGAACACACCCUGCAGUGAGGGAUAAGACACCGAAAGGUGUUCUAAUACCGCAUACGGUCUUCGGAUUAAAGCAUUUAUGCGCUGAAGGAGUGGCCUGCGUCAUAUUAGAUAGUUGGUGAGGUAAUGGCUCACCAAGUCGGUGAUGUGUAGCUGGUCUGAGAGGAUGAUCAGCCAGACUGGAACUGAGACACGGUCCAGACUCCUACGGGAGGCAGCAGUGAGGAAUAUUUCACAAUGAGCGAAAGCUUGAUGGAGCAAUGCCGCGUGCAGGAUGAAGGCCCUCGGGUUGUAAACUGCUUUUAUAAGAGAAGAUUAUGACGGUAACUUAUGAAUAAGGGACGGCUAACUACGUG